rnacentral:lncRNA from 10 species
AUGGCUCCGCGGCCCUGCGUGUAUGGGAGCAGCAGGUGGGUCUGCUGCUUAGAGGACGGCUGUGCUCUUCCGCCGUUGAGGUGUCGAUUGACUGCCCGUGGUCCAUCUACUCCACAGUCAUCGCACUGACCUUCAGCGUACCCUUCAGGACCACACACAGCCUCCUGUCCUCAGGAACACGGAAAUAUGUUCAAGUUUGUGUCCAGAAUUUGUCAGAACUUGACUUUCAGCUGUCAGAUAGUUAUCUUGUAGAUACCGGUGAUAGUACCGACCUGCAACUAGUACCACUGAACACGCAGUCCCAGCAGCCCAUCUACAGCAAGCAGUCGGUGUUCUUCGUCUGGGAACUCAAGUGGACAGAAGAGCCUCCCCCUUCUCUGCAUUGCCGGUUCUCUGUUGGAUUUUCCCCAGCUUCUGAGGAACAGCUGUCUAUCUCCUUAAAGCCGUAUACUUAUGAAUUUAAAGUGGAAAAUUUUUUUGGUGGCCCUGGCCCCCUUGCCAGAUUCCAGCUGGCCGUCAGUGCUCGCGUGUCUCUCUGAAGAGGCUCUGCGGUUCUGGUCCCUGUGCCUGAGCUCCAGG